rnacentral:rRNA from 1 species
GUGGGGAAUUUUGGACAAUGGGCGCAAGCCUGAUCCAGCAAUGCCGCGUGCAGGAAGAAGGCCUUCGGGUUGUAAACUGCUUUUGUACGGAACGAAACGGUCCGGGUUAAUACCCUGGGCUAAUGACGGUACCGUAAGAAUAAGCACCGGCUAACUACGUGCCAGCAGCCGCGGUAAUACGUAGGGUGCAAGCGUUAAUCGGAAUUACUGGGCGUAAAGCGUGCGCAGGCGGUUUUGUAAGACAGGCGUGAAAUCCCCGGGCUCAACCUGGGAAUUGCGCUUGUGACUGCAAGGCUGGAGUGCGGCAGAGGGGGAUGGAAUUCCGCGUGGAGCAGUGAAAUGCGUAGAUAUGCGGAGGAACACCGAUGGCGAAGGCAAUCCCCUGGGCCUGCACUGACGCUCAUGCACGAAAGCGUGGGGAGCAAACAGGAUUAGAAACCCUUGUAGUCC